rnacentral:rRNA from 1 species
AUGCAAGUCGAGCGCGAAAGCACCUUCGGGUGUGAGUAGAGCGGCGGACGGGUGAGUAACGCGUAGGAAUCUACCCAGUAGUGGGGGACAACAGUCGGAAACGGCUGCUAAUACCGCAUACGCCCUACGGGGGAAAGCGGGGGCUCUUCGGACCUCGCGCUAUUGGAUGAGCCUGCGUUGGAUUAGCUAGUUGGUGGGGUAAAGGCCCACCAAGGCGACGAUCCAUAGCUGGUCUGAGAGGAUGAUCAGCCACACUGGAACUAAGACACGGUCCAGACUCCUACGGGAGGCAGCAGUGGGGAAUAUUGCGCAAUGGGCGAAAGCCUGACGCAGCCAUGCCGCGUGUGUGAAGAAGGCCUUAGGGUUGUAAAGCACUUUCAAUAGGGAGAAAAGGCUCAUCGUUAAUAGCGUUGGGAGUUGAUGUUACCUAUAGAAGAAGCACCGGCUAACUCCGUGCCAGCAGCCGCGGUAAUACGGAGGGUGCGAGCGUUAAUCGGAAUUACUGGGCGUAAAGCGCGCGUAGGCGGUUUGUUAAGUCGGAUGUGAAAUCCCUGGGCUCAACCUGGGAACUGCACCCGAUACUGGCGAACUAGAGUACGAGAGAGGGAGGUAGAAUUCCACGUGUAGCGGUGAAAUGCGUAGAUAUGUGGAGGAAUACCGGUGGCGAAGGCGGCCUCCUGGCUCGAUACUGACGCUCAGGUGCGAAAGCGUGGGGAGCAAACAGGAUUAGAUACCCUGGUAGUCCACGCCGUAAACGAUGUCUACUAGCCCGUUGGGAGACUUGAUUUCUUAGUGGCGCAGCUAACGCACUAAGUAGACCGCCUGGGGAGUACGGCCCGCCAAGGUUAAAACUCAAAUGAAUUGACGGGGGCCCGCACA